rnacentral:rRNA from 1 species
AUGAGUGCCAUCCUUCUUCUCUGUUCUCUUCUUCCCGUGCUCUCUUUCUUCCUCCUUUCUCUCUCUCACACAUCUCGAUUUCUCUCUCUGCCUUGGAUCUUCAGACGGAAGGGCGCCUCGGGCUUCUCCUGGGCCUCCACCGUCGACCACGUCACCGCCGGCAUCUCCGCGUCCGGCCUCACCGCAAUAGUCACGGGUGCAUCGAGCGGGAUCGGCGCGGAGACGGCACGGGUGCUGGCGGCACGCGGGGCCCACGUCGUCAUGGCCGUCCGCAACCUCGCCGUCGCAGAGGACGUGCGCCAGGCCGUCCACGCCGAGUCCCCCGCCGCCAGCCUCGACCUCAUGGAGCUGGACCUCUCCUCCCUCGCCUCUGUCCGCAAGUUCGCCGGCGACUUCGACGCCACCGGCCUCCCCCUCAACAUCCUUGUGUAA